AUGACCGCCAUCACUGUGCCCGACCGACGGGACCUCCAGCUUAGAGAAAAGAUGAAUCGUAAAGUUCUGCUCGCAGUCCUUGUAGUCGCGGCUCUUGCCGUCUCUAGCGAAGCUCUUUUCAAGGAGAAAAAAUUGGCGAAGAUGUUCCUGCUCGGCGUGGCCCUCGCUCCUCGCGGAUUCGUUCCCGUACCGAUCCCACAGUACAAGCACAGCUACGGCCAUGAGCAUGUUCAUGUACAACACCACCACGGUCACCACUACGAUGAUCACCACCACGGCUGGCAUUAGAUUUCGCUGACUGACUAUGCACUAUGCAGAGAUCGAUGAUUGACCAGACGCUGAUGAGGGCAGUCGAUCUAGAUGCUCUCUCUGGUGGCUGCGAUUCCCGAACUCACCUCGAUCUGCUUCUUCCAUUUCUCCGUGUGUCGAUCGUCAUCGCUGUACACUGUAUAUAGUU